GCACUAUUUUUUUAAAUUUUAAAUGAUGUUCAAUUUAUUUUUCGUCGCUGAGUCUUUUGAUGCCAAAAACACUGUCUGAUAAAAGAUUUAUGCAUUUUUUAUUUUUAAAUUAAAUCAUUUUCAGUUUGGUAACCACGUUUUUUUUUCUUUUUGAUUUGCAGAUCAAACUUGAUACUUAAGAAAUCCAGACAAUAAAUUCAAAUGGAACAGAAUGCAUCAACACACUAGGUAAGUGAAAAACGUUUUAUAUAAAGUAUUCCUAUUUGUAUCAAUCUAAUAUUCACAUAAAAUGUAGUUGCUUAAAAUAGACUAGGUAUGAUGGAGUUUAUUAAAAUGUGGAUCAGUCAAAAUACUUGAAAAGCAAGGGUUCUGAUAUUUCAGAUAGAAAAGGGAUAGAAUCUAGCUUUUUUUCUUCUCAGUUUUUCAAAGCCAGAAUUUCGGACUCUUAUGAAAUUGAAUAUUUUUUCCUGAUGCUCGGUUAUAGCGAUCAGGAAGACUUAAGUCAGUUGAUUCACAUAAAAUCUACCUACUCUCUUCUUUUCUUGAUUGAAAUACACACGAAAAAUGUUGUCCUAUGCGAUGGAACAGGAAAAAUAUAAAACACUUGAGGGGAACGAUUUGUUUCAUUUUGUGUGAAAUGUCAAUCAGCUGGCACGAAAAAUGAAUUUGCGUCAGGAAAACAGAUACAAUUUUAACAAAAUAUAAUUGUUCCAUUGUAAAUAUUCUAUUCGAAAAAAAUUCUUUGAGUCAUUUAUAAUCGAUUGGUAUAGCAUCUAAGCCAAAUCUUAGUUUCUUUUUUAGUGGAAAUAUUAUAUGAGCUAUUACCAAAGAUCAUAUAACUAGUUAUAUGAUCUUUGCUAUUACCUUCAUGUUGUUACCCCUUUUCACCACUUGACUGUCUUAAAAACGGAAAUAAAGAUGUUCAACGAUGAAUUUCAAUGAUUGUUAUAACUGGCCCCUAAACAACAAGUUCAGGGUUCUGAGAUUUCGGAGAGAAACUGGAUAAAAUAUAACAUUUUUUCUCCACAGUUUUUCAACUGGACUCUUAUUACUGAGACUGCUGAUUGCUUAGAUGCUUACAAUUUUCACAUUCCAUCAUGUGUGAUUUUUUGUUCAAAUACAGAGAUCAGGAAAUCAAAAGAAUUGUAUUUUGUUUAUGAAUUUACAUAACCAGUUCCUGGUUGCUAAACCUUUACUUUUUUUUGUAAUUUCGUCUUUCAAAUGACUGCUUUAAAUUUCAAAAUAAAUCUUUCCAGUCAGUUUGUCUCAAAGGAUAACCUUUAAUUCCAAGUAAAAAUCUAUCUAGGAGAGCAUCAUUCAUAAUGCAUGGCAGCCAUACAGCACGUGUUUGCUAAUUCUCUUUAGAAAAACGUGGUUGCUGGAUGUUUUGUUAAGCAUUCCUCACAGCCAGAUACGAGCUCAAGGACAGUUUUUUUUCGACCAAAAUACCAAAAAUUCCAUUAACAUUGCAAUCAGUUUUCUCCCUCUCUCACUUUUCCAUUUCUAUGUCCUUUGUUUUCAUGAAUUUUUUUUUAUAAUCAUCCAAGGACAGUCCUUGCAUUGUUCGAGCGACUACCUUACCAUCGUAAGAUAUAUAAAAUAGGAGACGCAGCUGGCGAUGAGCACAGUUAGUUUUGAAUCUUCGGUAGGUUUAGGUGCAUGUUACAGAAACAAAUUCAAAAGUCGCAAAAUUGUUUCCAGCAUCCAAAUAAAAAAAUGAACAGACUCAUUUUUAUAAAAGAUUUCUUCAAAAUGAUGUUAACAAGAAGAAAAAAACUAUUUAUUCCAAGAUUCUUUGAGAAUGAGCUUAUCAUAGACAAUUAAAUUAUUCAAAGUUUUCGAUGAUCUAAAAUUUUGUAUAAAAGGUUGGCCGAUGGGAAUUAAAGCCUUCUGAUUCCUUGAUCAUAAGCGGAUGAAGAUAUUUUUUAUUUCAAGGAAAAAUCGAAAUCAAAAUGGCAGCUUGUAAUGUUGUUGGACUUUACGAAAACAAAUUUUCCCGGAAUUUCCUAGACAAUUUAAAUGUUAACAAUUCCAAUUACGGAAGAAACACAUCAGGAACCCAAUAUGCUAACUGAAAUUUGCCGGACAUAUCCUUGAUGCAAAUGUUAACGUAUUCUAAUAACGGAGGAAACACAUCAAGGAACUCAAUAAUGCUUAAUGAAUUUGCCGCACGUGUUGCCUUGAUGCAAAUGUAAAGACAUUCUGUUAGAAAUGGAGGAAAGAGCAAACCAAAGAAGAAAAUCAAUUUGAAUCAAGAGCGAUGUCUAUUCUAUGAAAACGGUUCGACUGGAAGGAACUAAUUGAAAUUGAUGUAAGUUGAUUUUUUGAACUAAUUAAUUUAAAUUUUUUGUUUUUCAAAACUACAAAAAGUUUCAAAAGUUCAUGAAUUCAAUCCUUUUCACGAAAUUCCAUUGUAAUCAAAAUUUUGGUAGAAUUCUCUUAUAAAAAACAUAAAAGCCUUCCGAGUGAAAAAGUUUGCUCAAAUUUUUUUUGUUGGGACUCAACAACAAGCAACUAUUACAAUGGAAUUCUAGAAAAAGGAAGAAUAGAAUUCUGCUCUGUCUGUUUUGUUUUUAUUUAAAUGAUGACACACAUUACCCAGCUCGCUUUGACCAAGCCAUGAAGAGAACUUGUUCUAAAACAACGCAAAAAUAAACUGCUGAUUAAAAAUAAAAACAAUUCUUUUAAUUAAAAUCCAAUCUAUGUAUUAACCAAUCAAAUCUAAUGCAAGAUUUCUGUUUUUUUCCAGGGCAAUGUCUUUUUCUCGGGAAACACGGUUCGACUUAAAUAGAAGUGACGAAAUUCAAAUUAGUGUUGAUGGCUCAUUCUUUGGAAACUGUUCGACUUACAUAAGUGAAGGAAAUGACUUGAAAUUGAUAAAAAUGGGAAACUUGAUUAGCUCUCUUUUGCACUUCACUGGCGCUGUUAUCAACGCUAGGUCUCUCUUGAAGUAGUUGCACUUAAAAUUGAGU